rnacentral:rRNA from 1 species
UGCAUGGCUGUCGUCAGCUCGUGUCGCGAGAUGUUGGGUUAAGUCCGCACGAGCGCAACCCCUGCAUCCAGUUGCCAUCGGGCGAGCCGGGCACUCUGGAGGGACUGCCGGCGACAAGCCGGAGGAAGGUGGGGAUGACGUCAAGUCAUCAUGGCCCUUAUGUCCAGGGCGACACACGUGCUACAAUGGCCGGCACAGCGGGAAGCGGAGGGGCGACCCUGAGCGGAUCCCUUGAAAGCCGGUCCCAGUUCGGAUUGCAGUCUGCAACUCGACUGCAUGAAGUUGGAAUCGCUAGUAAUCGCGGAUCAGCCAAGCCGCGGUGAAUACGUUCCCGGGCCUU